rnacentral:rRNA from 1 species
UACAGAGGUCCCAAGGCGUUGUUCGGAUUCAUUGGGCGUAAAGGGUGCGUAGGCGGCGCGGUAAGUCGGGUGUGAAAUCUCGGGGCUUAACUCCGAAACUGCAUUCGAUACUGCCGUGCUUGAGGACUGGAGAGGAGACUGGAAUUUACGGUGUAGCGGUGAAAUGCGUAGAUAUCGUAAGGAAGACCAGUGGCGAAGGCGGGUCUCUGGACAGUUCCUGACGCUGAGGCACGA